rnacentral:rRNA from 465 species
UGGCGACCAUAGCAAGAGUGAACCACCUGAUCCCUUCCCGAACUCAGAAGUGAAACCUCUUAGCGCUGAUGGUAGUGUGGGAUUACCCAUGUGAGAGUAAGUCAUCGCCAGCUC